rnacentral:rRNA from 1 species
GAUGAACGCUAGCUACAGGCUUAACACAUGCAAAUCGAGGGGCAGCACGGAGAUAGCUUGCUAUCUUGGGUGGCGACCGGCGCACGGGUGAGUAACGCGUAUCCAACCUGCCCAUUACUCUGGGAUAGCCUUGCGAAAGUAAGAUUAAUACCGGAUGUUGUUUGAUUGCCGCAUGACGGUCAAACCAAAGAUUUAUUGGUAAUGGAUGGGGAUGCGUGACAUUAGGUAGUUGGUGAGGUAACGGCUCACCAAGCCUACGAUGUCUAGGGGUUCUGAGAGGAAGGUCCCCCACACUGGAACUGAGACACGGUCCAG